rnacentral:rRNA from 1 species
CCUACGGGUGGCAGCAGUGGGGAAUAUUGGACAAUGGGCGAAAGCCUGAUCCAGCCAUGCCGCGUGUGUGAAGAAGGCCUUCGGGUUGUAAAGCACUUUCAGUGGGGAAGAAAGCCUUGGGGCUAAUACCCUCGAGGAAGGACAUCACCCACAGAAGAAGCACCGGCUAACUCCGUGCCAAGCAGCCGCGGUAAUACGGAGGGUGCGAGCGUUAAUCGGAAUUACUGGGCGUAAAGCGCGCGUAGGCGGUCUGAUAAGCCGGUUGUGAAAGCCCCGGGCUCAACCUGGGAACGGCAUCCGGAACUGUCAGGCUAGAGUGCAGGAGAGGAAGGUAGAAUUCCCGGUGUAGCGGUGAAAUGCGUAGAGAUCGGGAGGAAUACCAGUGGCGAAGGCGGCCUUCUGGACUGACACUGACGCUGAGGUGCGAAAGCGUGGGUAGCAAACAGGAUUAGAUACCCUGGUAGUC